GAUGAACGCUAGCGGCAGGCUUAAUACAUGCAAGUCGAGGGACAGCACAGGUAGCAAUACUGGGUGGUAACCGGCAAACGGGUGCGGAACACGUACACAACCUUCCUUUAAGUGGGGGAUAGCCCAGAGAAAUUUGGAUUAAUACCCCGUAAUAUAGUUGAAUGGCAUCAUUUGAUUAUUAUAGCUACGGCGCUUAAUGAUGGGUGUGCGGCUGAUUAGAUAGUUGGCGGGGUAACGGCCCACCAAGUCUACGGUCAGUAGCUGAUGUGGGAGCAUGAUCAGCCACACGGGCACUGAGACACGGGCCCGACUCCUACUGGAGGCAGCAGUAAGGAAUAUUGGUCAAUGGACGCAAGUCUGAACCAGCCAUGCCGCGUGAAGGAUUAAGGUCCUCUGGAUUGUAAACUUCUUUUAUUUGGGACGAAAAAGGGCCUUUCUAGGUCAACUGACGGUACCAGAUGAAUAAGCACCGGCUAACUCCGUGCCAGCCGCCGCAGUAAAAC
rnacentral:rRNA from 1 species